GCCCAGAAAGCUAACCGGGUGGAAGCACUCCGCUGAAGACGGAGAGGGGUUGGUUCGAGUCCAACUCUGGGCA
rnacentral:tRNA from 4 species